rnacentral:tRNA from 1 species
GGAGAGAUCGCCUAGUGGCUAUGGCGCCGCAGUGCUGAUGCGGUGGGGGUCCGCCCCUCGCGGGUUCGAGUCCCGCUCUCUCCGCCA